rnacentral:tRNA from 1 species
GUCAGGAUAGCUCAGUUGGUAGAG